rnacentral:rRNA from 1 species
CCAGCACCCGCGGUAAUUCCAGCUCCAAUAGCGUAUAUUAAAGUUGUUGCAGUUAAAACGCUCGUAGUCUGAUGUAAUGGGGACUGGAGUGGGGAGCAGCGAUGCUCUUUGCUUUGAUCCUCAUCAAGGGGACAGCAAUGUCCCAUUUUACUUUGAGGAAAUUAGAGUGUUCAAAGCAGACGAUUGCUUGAAUACUGCAGCAUGGAAUAAUGGAAUACGACUCGCGUCUUAUUUUGUUGGUUUGGAGAUGUGAGUAAUGAUGAAUAGGGACAGUUGGGGGCAUUGGUAUUCAGUAGUCAGAGGUGAAAUUCUUGGAUUUACUGAAGACUAACUAGUGCGAAAGCAUUUGC